UCCGUGUUAACCACGGCAGUCUCUUUAGAGAGCCCAACUGAAUGCUGGCAACUAAAGACAAGGGUUGCGCUCGUUGCGGGACUUAACCCAACAUGUCACCACACGAGCUGACGACAGCCAUGCAGCACCUGUCACUCUGUCUCCUUGCGGAGAAGAUCCCAUCUCUGGGACUGUCAGAGGAUGUCAAACCCAGGUAAGGUUUUUCGCGUUGCUUCGAAUUAAACCACAUGAUCCACCGCUUGUGCGGGCCCCCGUCAAUUCCUUUGAGUUUUAGUCUUGCGACCGUACUUCCCAGGCGGGAUACUUAUUGCGUUAGCUCCGACUCGGCGGGGGUCAAGACCCACCAAGUCUAGUAUCCAUCGUUUACGGCGUGGACUAC
rnacentral:misc_RNA from 1 species